CCCUGGUCUAGAGUCUUCUCCCUCAUGAGACAUUUGUGAUGAAGAGCUUCAGAAAUGAAUAGUUUGAACAUAUGAGUCUCCUCCUCCUGACUGCAGAGGAGCUUCAUGACAGAGACCUGUGUGAUUGAAGCUGUGAUCAUCAGACCAAACACAGCUCACCAAAGUGACUCCUACUGAUCCUUCAGUUCCAGCAUUUCUCUCUGCUAACAUGGACAAACUUGCUGCUGCUGCUGUGUUCAUGGUUUCAGUCAUUUUCAGUGUGAGCUGUGAAGAUCUCACUGCAGAGAGGAAAGAAGAGUCCGCUCUAGAGAACAGCUCUGUUACUCUGUCCUUCAGAUACUCCAGAGCUGCUGCUCUCAGUGAUUAUUUCUACUGGUAUAGACAAGAUCCAGGAGAACCACCACAGUUCCUCAUCUCUCACACAUCAGCUGGGAUAAUAUCAGAUCCAGAUCCUAGACUGUCUGCUGCAAUGAGUGACAAAAACCAUCGUGUGGAUCUCCAGAUCUCCUCUGCUGCACUGAGUGACUCUGCUGUGUACUACUGUGCUGUGAGGCCCACAGUGACAGGAAACACCAACACUCUGUACAAAAACACAACGUGUCUCUCUGACAUGCUGGUGGAACAUUGUCUUCAUGUGCUUUAA